GCCUUUUGAAGUCUGAACUCUGGCUGACAGAACGUAAGAGGUAGGUGUGUUCUGUGAACACGUGCCACUGCACCAUUAGUUCCUGCCUGGCCUUGACCCCAACACGUUCUCUGCUUACCUGGACCAGGGACAGAAGAAGAUCUUCCUGCUAUAAUGCCAGGGCCCAGUACCCACACUGGGGGCCUGUGGUGCCCAAGGUGUCUCCAGCCAGGCCUAUGCCUGAGAGUUAAGAGAGGACACAGCAACAGACUUGAGAAGAGACUAUGAAAAGUCUCUCAGAGAACCCUGCUCUGCUCACCACACCUAAUGUGUGCUCUUCCUUCUGUCAGAAAUCCCACCUUAUGACUUGGAGAUAAGAUUUCCCCUUUGCAAUUGAAACCAUCCAAUCAGUACUUGGCUGAUGAUGUGCAAUUGAUAUGCCUUCCAUCCAAGGCCAGGGAGACUUGG
rnacentral:lncRNA from 10 species